AAAGUUAUUCAGAUUUAACGAAGAUAUUAUAAGGAAUACGGAAGAGGGAAAAGGAGUCAAGGAUAUAUAACAAUGUCAGAUGAACUUAAAACUCAUCGGAACAAAUCUAUAUCUAUAACAUUGUUAACCUCUAAUGUAUAGUUACUAAGAAAAGGCAAUCCAAAAACAGAACUUGAACACUGGGGCAACGACCUUGACCAUGACCUUUAACCAUACAAAUCUUAGUCAUCUUAUGUUAAAAUCAGGGAAAAUAUAUUUCAUUUACAGAUUGUUAACAAAGAUGUCACUUUUGAAAAAAAAUUAAACACCUCAAAUUUAGAUGCAGGCUGGGCAAAAAUUAAUGUAGUGACCACAGGAUUAUUGUACCUCAUCAAAAUGACAACAAAGCAAUUUUGUAGAAAACAAGUCAAUACAUGAGGGAUGAACAUUUAGUUUCAAUAACAUUUGUUUUAUCAACUGUGAAUAUUAUCUAUAGAAAUUUCCUUUCAUUUCAAAACCAAUUCAGUUAAAGCCAUGUAAAGCAUAUAUGAGAGCAAAGUCAACUGUCCCUUGACAUAAAAUGGGCUACAAAUUCUGACAAAAAGAACAGAUAUUUGGACAAGGUUAUACUUGCUUAUAAUUAACAAAAGAUUUUAAAAAAAAAAUGGAAUUAAAAGUGAGAAUGCAAAGGGGGAUGUGUCAAAGAGACAACAACACACAGAAGAACAGAAAGCAGGCAAAAGCCACAAAUCUAUCUUCAGCUGGCCCCUUAAACAAUGUAUUCUAGUUCAGCAAAAGUGAAUAUCACACAAAACAUGCAAUUUUGGAAGACCAACAUAAAAAAUUGUUUUAAAACAUGAAAUAUAUGUCUUACCAACUUGGGAGAUGAAACCAUGAGUAACAUAAAAUUAACACCCAAC
rnacentral:lncRNA from 1 species